GGCCACACCUGUGAUAUAUAGAAGCUCCCAGGCUAGGGGUCAAAUCAGAGCUGCAGGUGCCGGCCUAUACACCACAGCCACAGCAACGUGGGAUCCGAGCCACACCUGCCACCUACACCACAGUGCGUGGGCAAUGCUGGAUCCUGAACCUGCUGAGCGGGGCCAGAAAUUGAACCCGCAUUCUCACGGAUACUACUUGGGUUCCUUACCACUGAACCACAGCAGGAACUCCCAUAUCAUUAAAUUUUUAAGGGCUCUUUUCCUUCAGCCUACCCAGCAAGAGAAAUUGACUAUAUUUCACCUUUCUCCGAUGUAUUUACAGGAGUAUAAGAUUUCUCUGGACGCUCAUCAAUAGCUAUAUAAAAACCUCUUCUACAGCAUCAGAAAAGCAUCUUUUAUCUGGUUCCUAGCACUCAGCUUCACUGUGGUCCCUCAAAGGCAGAGCCAGUGUCCCAAAUGCGAAAUGAGUGCAUGAACGGGAAUCCAGAAAUAGAGCCUCGGGAUCAAUAGAUGUGACUGAGGAAGCAUUUACAUUCUCAGGGGCAGAGCUCACUGGGCUUCUAAGUGGAUAAGAGAUCUGAUCCCUGAGCCACCGUGAAUGGACCGGAAACUGGAUGCCAUGAGCGGGGAUACAGGUCCUAUUGCGGUGAGCGGAUGCAGCAAGAAUAGAAGAGUCAGGGAAGGAAGCGAGGCCCCAAGGAAUCUUAAAAUAAGCUUUGCAUCCCAAUCCUCAGAGAAUGAGCGAAGGCAAGGCAGAAUUUUGGAGUUUCAAGCCUUUGAAUGGAGAGGGGUUUUACUUCCUCUGCUUACCCGCCGACGUCAUACACGGAGCACUCAGAGCGUUAUCUCAGCAUGUUUUCCUAGCAAUAAAAUAAAGUGAAAGACUGCUGACACCUUUCUAGUUCAGUGGGAGGGGGGCCAAAAUGCUGACUUUCCACACAGAGGUGGCCCCGCCACCUGCUCUGACUGGACAUCUCUGAGAAGAGUGCUGAAGUGUACAUUUCAAGCCCAAAUGCCUUGCAAAUGGUCAACGUACAGGGUUUUUUUGCACAUGCUAGGCACACAGCAGCCCUUUCUGUAGAGAGCAAUUCAGCAGUCUGUCAAUCAAAGGUCCUUCGGCCAAGAGACCACAAACGCCCACUUCUGACCUUGCUGGGCCACCUGGACAAGGGGGACAGAAGGUGGCUGACGGCGAGAACUCCCCCAGGGGAAGAGAAGGGAAUCAAAUUAUUGCUAAGAGGAACUUCUCCACUCCAGCCUCCUUGUAAAUCCAUUGUCCCCCAUCCUGGGUGUUCCCCUAAGUCUCCAGAUGGCAAAGGAGGUGGUGUCAGGAAAGAAGGAAGGGACUCUUGAGGCUCUCCUUUGAGCAGCAGGUCUUCAUAGUUUUGUUUUCAGGGGUUUUUUUGGUUUGUUCUCUUCCAAACAUUAUUUCUCAUUGGGUAAGGCAUCUCAGAUAUGCAUUGGCUUUGCUUUCUUGGUCAACCCAUUCUCAAUAAAUCAAGAGUUAAUUCUAGGUGAAUUUCUGUGAGGUUAUUUAAGUCCAAUAGUUAUCUUAUGUGUACAGAAAGUGGAGGAAAAGACGGGAAGCUCUUGUCUCCUUUACUUUAGACUAGAGUUGAAAAAUAUCAGGUGGAUUCCAAUAUGAAUGUAGCCCACCUAAUUUAUUAUUUUUUUUUUUUUGCAAAAGCCUAAUUCUUUUUUCCCUUGUGAAUAAACUUUUUUAGAUCAAUGGGUCUCCAAUCCUUUAUUGAAAUUCAACUGUAAGCUAUGAGUCAGAGAGGCAAAACUGAGUCAAAAUACAAUCCCAGCUUGACUCUCAAGAUCUAGAAGGAAAGUCUUACAUAUAAUUGGACAUUUAUGAUAUGAGGACAUAUAAUUGGACAUUUAUGAUAUAAGGAGUUAUGUGCUCCUAUCACUCUGUGGGGGGGGGGCUAGAAAUAAUAAAAUCAUAGCUCUACAGUGAAUAUUUACCGGGCAAUCCCAAUGGACAGAAGAGUGUACUGGACAAAUCCAUCCCUUUCUGCCCCUACCCUGAAAGUGUCUCUGUUGUUCAGUUAGACACGUGGGGGCAUCAGCCUGAGAGAGACAGCCUGUGAUAUCAAAAUUCAAUCUAUGGGAGUCCUGCCUUGAUGAAGCAGACAUGAAUAUGGCAUGAACAUAUAUGAUAAAUGAAUACAUAUUCACACCCGCACCCACGUUGUGCCUCCUACAGCAGGCUUCUCUUUCAUAUCUGUAUUCCUGGUAUAUAAAACAGUCCAUUUGUUUCCCUACCCCUUCCCAAAUCGUAGGGCAAUAACUUCUAGGAAAGAAGAAAUAAUAAAGAAUGAUUAUACAAUCUUAUUUGGGCAAAAAGCGAACAUAUGGGUAUCAAGGCCAAAAAUAUGGAUUUCAAGCUAAAACAUAUGGAUGCCCAUAUGGAACAAAAAGGUUUCCUGGCCGGAAACUCUGCUGUUGCAUUUUUUAUGCCUAUAUGUGCGGUUCGGGGUUUCUCUCCUUCUGCCGAGCGACGCUGUCUUGCCGACAGAUUCGAAUGUUAUAAAUGCACAUGCAAAUUUCACAAAAUGCUCCCCCCUUAUCAUCUUUAUUAGCUUUCUAUUCUCUUAGUCCUUUUCAUCACUUAAUAGCUCCACAAGUAAUGGAUUUUUAGUAAAACGGGGAGGCUUAUUUCAAUCCAUCCUGUGGCUGAAUCUUUUCUUGAUGCUCAAAUAAUGAAACGUAUUUUUCUUCAAAACCUCAAUAAGAACAGCCUUCCCUUCCCACAUAAAUGUGUGCUCAGGUACGAGCACACACACACACACACACACACACACACACACACACACACACACACAAGCACGUGGCGCCCUUAUGAUCCUGCCUAUCUUGAGUCACCGCCAGAGCCCUGGCGACAGACACUUGCAGGUUCUAUUCUGGAGAGUCACACACCCCAGGCAGAGGGGGGAACACGGGUCAGUGAGGAGAAGUCUCCACAAAGUUUCCACCUUCGUCUCUUACAUUUUAUUCAUCAGACCUUCCUUUCUCUGAAGAGCCAGAGGGCAUGGAGGUAUCAAGAAGAAACAGGAGACUCGAGAUAAUCCAUCCUUCCAGGCCGCGCCUCCUUUUACGUCAGUGGAUGCUUUGUGAGCAGAUAUUUCAACUGGAAGUGAUCAUAUAAUUUACAAAAUAGGGGCGUUCCCGUCGUGGCGCAG
ensembl:lncRNA